rnacentral:rRNA from 1 species
GAACGACUCUCGGCAACGGAUAUCUCGGCUCUCGCAUCGAUGAAGAACGUAGCGAAAUGCGAUACUUGGUGUGAAUUGCAGAAUCCCGUGAACCAUCGAGUCUUUGAACGCAAGUUGCGCCCGACGCCUUCGGGUUGAGGGCACGUCUGCCUGGGUGUCACGC